UAUCCACAUUUGAGUGGGUCACUUCGAAACUAAUUAAUUCGUUUUGGUUAGCAGACACGCAUUUCCAAGAUUGGGUGAUCGUGUUCAAUAAUGAAUUAUCGUGUUGUUUGUGUAUUGAUACUAGAAUAUUUAUAUUUGAUUACUGUUCUCUUUGGUGAAAAUCCUCCUGGCACCAAAGUGCAAUAUGCUUCAAUAAACUGUACAGCCAAGUGCAAAGGAACUAAGUGUCAUGCAAACUGUUCGGGUAUGAUGGCAUCUGCUGCGGCCGUUGGCUUCAAUUCAACUUCAAUUACGGUUGGGGAUUUGUCCACAGUGGAGUGCUAUGGACCAUUCUGCACAGCUGCCUGCGACGGUAUGACAAACGUCUGUAUGUCAAAAUGUAUCGGACGCAGUUGUGAAACACUUUGUCGUUCUACUGCCUGCCUCACAUUUGGAAUGGGGACCGUUGCAACCUCCAGUUGUGUAGGCCAUAGAUGUUUUGCAAAUUGUACAGGUGAAGGUUGCAUAUCGCUGUGUGAAGGGACAAGCUGUGCGUCUGAGUGUCAUGCAAUAAGGUGCCAAGCUCAUUAAAACAGUAACUACUUGUAAUUAAUUUAGUGUGCUGGUGCUGAUUGCGAUUCAAGGUGUACUGGACGACUUUGUAAACAAACCUCGUCAUGAAUGGAAAAUAAUGAUGAAGAAUAGCCUUAAUGAAAUGAAUUAAUGAAAUGAUUUAUGCAUU